GGGAGGAACAAAUCAUAUAUUAGAUAAAUAUGUUGGAUUACAAUAGUGGAUAUUACAGGAGGAACAUCAUCGAGAUGUGAUGCAUAAUCCAACUAUUUUCCUGACAGCAAAAGUUAAACUGAAAGCAUCCAUCAACAUCCGUACAACUUAACUAAAACAUAACCGAAGAACAUCGUCCCUACAACUUAACUAAAACUCUAAGCAUCCAUCUUCUCAUCAUGAUCAGGAACAUCAUCAUCUUCAUUGCAGUAUACUUGCCAGGCACCCAUAUAAUCAUCCAUUUAUCUUUUGAAUCUACAAACACAAAAACAAAAUGAAUUGUUAACACAGAAUGCAUUGACAUGAUGCAAGUAGUGAUAGAGGCAGGAUAUUAGUCACGUACAAAGGUUGAAGGCCAUGCAAUCUUUGUUUUGUCUGCAUUACCGAGAGUAAUGCAGUUUGCAACUCCGUACCAAAUGGCAAGUCUUCACAAGUGCCAUAUCGACAUGCACUUCCCAGAAUUCAUUUGUAAGUUCAACACCAUCAAGUUUAAAUUUAAGAACACAACUUACAACUGUAGCAAGAGAUAUGUCUCCGUUAUGCUUUUCCAGGCUUUUUCAAGAAUACUUUAGUUCAUGCAUGUUAGAGAGAAUCAAAGUUAUCAAUGGAUCAAAAGGAAAGAACUCGUAAAGGAAUUACAAAACUUUCAUAAAUGCUGUUAUAGUCCCUCCAUAUGGAAGAUGAAAUGAGAAUAGUCCUAAGUAAGGCUGCUGAAACUACACAAUCAAAAUUCUGUUUGUACCUCGAUCAAACACCAACAUAUUGGAAACGCCAGAUUAUUGAGGUCGAUCACCAACGAACAAUUAUGUAGCUCCAUCUUAAAAAACAAUAUCGACAUAAAUCUGACAAGUAGAUUAAAUUCAGUUAAAUUCCCUUAUAAUAUUGCAACAUCAGUGAAAUGUUAACAGUUGCAUAAUUGCAUGAAGAAAGCAAUUGGUGUAAAUGGUGUAUAUGCAUGUUCUGAUCGAAUAUAAACCUGUAGGCAAUGCUCUUAUGCUUACUCCUAUUUUUAUAUAUUGGACCGAUUCAAUAAUAUGUCCAGAUCACAAUCCAACAAUCCAAAUGCUGAUCCAUUAAUAGUAUGCACCAAAUAACUCACCCGUUGAUCAGGAAGUAUCAUCCAAAUAUGAAUCCUUGGCAUUAAAACUGAUGAAGAAUGAACCUGAACUCCUGCACCUAACUUUGGAGGGGCCAGAGUUUGGUCAGGGCUACACACACAACCAUAUCAGCCCACAUCAUAAGUGCAACCAGGACUCAAUUCUUGAGUCAUCCAAUAAUCGAGAAGAUUGUUUGAAUCGAAGAGCAGGAACACGGACAACAAUAAAACCUACUGCCAAACAACACAAUAAACCUCUUGUUGACACCAUAUCCACUGACGCUGUAUAAGCCACCUGAAAAACAUUUGCCAGCGCUUAGAUGGAUUAGGAGUCUUGUUUAUAAAAGUCAGAUAAUUCACAAAGUGUGUGAAGGUUCAAAUUCAUUUUCUUCUAGUGUAUCAACCAUAACUACAAUAGCAUGAAUCUCGACUCUUUUUUUUGCCAUGGAAUUCUGGACUUUUUUCAGUAUGCCCAAAUUGUAAACGAAAUUAAACACCACAAAACAAAAAUAGACAUGGAAACAAACUUAAUCCGAUGAAAAGAGGGCUAAGCCGGUUGUUUGAGACCUGUUGUGUGAGAACACAUGCCUAUGCGUCACGUUUAUGUUUCAAAGAAAGUCGUCACACAAUCAGAAUCUCCCAUAGUAAUUAUCUCGCAAUUGGAUCCCUAGCAGAAUUAAUCUCAUCCUUGGUCUCUCUGCUCUUCACGAUCAAUGAUAGGAUAUACAGCUGGGCAAAAGGAGAAUCUGAGCAUGUUCAUGGUCGUACGUUGGAUUCACCGUUGUUGCAGGGGAGCGGUGACGAGGGGCAGCGCGCUGGGAUGCAGGGUCACAGGGGAGCGGUAACGACGGGUAGCGCGUCGGGAUGCAGGGUGAUAGGGGAGUGUUGAAGAAGGGCGGCGUGUCGUACCUUGGAUUCACCGUUGGUCGCGUGCAGGGGAGCAGUGACGAGGGAUGGCGUGCCGGGAUGCAGGGUCGCCGGGGAGUGGAGAUGAGGGACGGCGCGCCUGGAUGGAGGUUCGCAGGGGAGUGUUGAGGGGCGGCGCGCCUGGACAGAGGUUCUCAGGGGAGUGGUGAGGGACGGCACGCCGGGAGAGAGGAUCGCAGGGGAGUGCUCAUGUGCGGCAACUGACGAGGGGCGGCGGCCGGCGUGGGAGGUUAGGAGAGGAACAGGGGAGGCUGGGGACUGGGAACGACCUAAGAUUAUCCUUAAAGCCAACUUGGGCUGGGCUAGACAAGAGGCUACAUGGGGCUUUACUUGGAGUUGUGGCCGGUUCCAAUCUAUGUACUAAAAUGGGGUCACCUGUUACAAGUCUGCAACGCAUAUGCUACAAUGCUUAUAUGCG
rnacentral:lncRNA from 1 species